ensembl:lncRNA
CGCAGAUGAUGAUUCAAUCGUUUUUGUAAAGGACCACAAGACGGCUGCACAUUUCUCAAUUGUCCUGUCCAAGAAGGAGGAGGCGUGGUUUGAGAAAUAUUACAACAAAGUGCGGCCACAGCUCCUUGCUGGCGAAAGGAAACCUCCAGCAAAAGUGCAACGUCCCCCAGGUGAGCAGCCAGGUUGUACGGAGGGUAUUUCAGACAGCAGCUAACCGCCUGGAUGACCCUCAGAAGAAAGCAGUUUUUGACUACCUGGGAUGAGGACUCCAAAAUCGUACCAUGACCCGUUUGAGAGAGGAGUCUGCCGGCCGUGUUGGGGUCCAGUGUGAGGUCACAGGCAUCUGAGGGAGAACCAGACAUGAUGAGGAAUUUCAAAGAGAUGAUGGAGUGAUUUGACUCAGAAGUGACAUCAGGCAUUGGCAGCGCGAGAUGUGCAGAACAAGUUAAACUUCUAGCUCAGUAACAUCAACACCUAAGAAAGAAGGUAAGAAAGAUAGUCGGAAAACUUUGAUUUGCAAGGCAAGCAGGCAAGUGUUGGGCUUGUUACAGUAGCCUAUAUAGCCUUCAAUGCGGUGAAAUUUCGGAAUUAAUAGGCUCGAUCUUUCAUUUUGCAAAAAAAAAAAACACAGUAGGCUAUAUUACCAUA